rnacentral:miRNA from 1 species
UUAAAUAAUCCAUCAUCCAAUC